rnacentral:lncRNA from 1 species
CACCCACAUCCACACACACACACACAAACACACACAGACACUCACACACACACACACACACACACACACACACACACACACACACACACACACACACCCAUCCACACACACACACAAACACACACAGACACUCACACACACACACACACACACACACACACACACACAUACAUAAACACACACAGACACUCACAAACACACACACACACACAGACACUCACACAGACAUAAACACACACAGACACUCACACACACACACACACACACACACACACAGACACUCACACACACAUAAACACACACAGACACUCACACACACACACACACACACACACACACACACACACAUACAAACACACACACAUAUAUAGGAGCAGAGGAUGAAGAGUACGUCAGACAAAGCAGGGGAGGUGCAUCUGUGAUAAGUGUGUGUGUGUGCACGUGUGUGUGCACGUUGUGGCAUCACGAUGGGCCAGCUGGCAGAGGGGUGUGGUGUUCGUGUGGAGGUCUGGCUGCCACACCACAAGAUGGCUGCCAGUGGAACUACAUCUCCCAGAAUGCAGCAGCACCCAACCAGGUGUAGGUGCUUAAGGCACCUGAUGGACGAAGGGGCAUUUAAGACAGGUGGUGCCUGUUGUGAGAGAGCGAGCCACGAGAGCAGGAAGAGCCAGGAGGGAGAACAGAGAGCACUUGACGUGCGGGUGAAGCCGUUGUGGAAAGGCUUGCUAAAGCGCUUGCUAAAGCGCUUGCUAAAGCGCAUCCGGAAGGGGGAAGGCUAGCCCCAAGCCGGGAAGGACCUGGACGGAGGAACUUUAAACUGCAACUACAGUGGGCAGGAUGCCAGGAAGGCGCCGUGGAAAAGCAGAUGUCCUGUCCCACUGUGAUGCCUUUUGGACCUGGUUUAUCCUGCCGAGGGCGUCAGGUCCGGGGAGAGGGAUGUGUGGCAUCACGAUGGGCCAGCUGGCAGAGGGGUGUGGUGUUCGUGUGGAGGUCUGGCUGCCACACCACAAGAUGGCUGCCAGUGGAACUACAUCUCCCAGAAUGCAGCAGCACCCAACCAGGUGUAGGUGCUUAAGGCACCUGAUGGACGAAGGGGCAUUUAAGACAGGUGGUGCCUGUUGUGAGAGAGCGAGCCACGAGAGCAGGAAGAGCCAGGAGGGAGAACAGAGAGCACUUGACGUGCGGGUGAAGCCGUUGUGGAAAGGCUUGCUAAAGCGCUUGCUAAAGCGCUUGCUAAAGCGCAUCCGGAAGGGGGAAGGCUAGCCCCAAGCCGGGAAGGACCUGGACGGAGGAACUUUAAACUGCAACUACAGUGGGCAGGAUGUAAGUGAGGAGCAACUUUAUGAAGCCUAUGUUUUUGCCUUUGAAGAACUUUUAUGUUUGCUUCCUGAAAGACUUUGUGUUUGGUGAAUAAACCUGAUCCUCGUUUGAAAGCA